GCUCUAGUGGCUUAGUGAUUAGAGAGUCCGCCUUGGAUGUGGGAGGACGCAGGUUCGAACCCAGGCCGAGUU